CAGAAUUUUUUUUUUCCUCCCCAAUCAACCUGUGCCCUUGUCUCUUUUUUUUGACAGGGGCCGAGAGCGUAGAAGACAAACGAGGAAAAACAUGGCAGAAAGGGGGACUCUGGAGACAGCUGUUGGAGAGGAUCUCUCUUGUCCUCCACCCUUCUCCAGCCCUUGGGCGUCUUCAGCAUCAGAUGUCAUCCUGCCAAAGACAAAACAUCUGACAAGUCUCUCCGGACAUUGAUGUAUGGACUGUGAACUCCUGACCCAAUGAAAAGCAACAAGAGGGACUGUUGCCGCACAGCAUGGAGCAUGUCAGGGGUCACAAUGCGGAGAUGGCUAAACACCCCCUCUUUAGCCCGAGGGUGAAGCCAAUAGGUCCACAGUGUGUGAGUCACAGUGUCUCCCAUCUUGGAUCUCCACCUCAGCGUGUUUCCAUAUCCUGCCUCUGGGGCUGCAACACGGACACCGCUCUCCUCCUCCUCCUCAUCUUGUCCGAAUAACCUCAUGUGUUGGACUGGGCAAAAGGGAAACUCUCUGACAAUACGUGUGAUUGCUGUUAGCGUUGAGACGGCGAUUGGCAACGCCUGGAGUCAAAGCGAUGACACACUGGGUCGGUGUAUUGGCAAAAGGUUACGACGCGCUGUAAUGGAUCACAUUGGACAGAACUGCAUCAGAAUGAAGCACUGAACUGCUGCAAAGUGGGGCCAGAGCUGGAGCUCGACUCCGUCUCACGCCUCCGUCUGGGAAAACCAAAAGUCCUGCACAGUAUCUCAAACACUUUUUAUUUUUCCAAAGUGUAUUUUGCCCUUUCAAUGAGCUCCACACAGGGAGAAUAUAUUAUGUUUUCUUACGCUAUUGAUUCCAUGUCUCUGCCCACUCAGGCCUCUCAAGGCCGACAUUAAAACGUCUUGCUUCCUAUCUCCAUCUUUAAUUGAUGGUGGAUAUUGCUCUUAUCCACACACACUCAAUUCUCUGCUCUUCACUCCUUAAUAUUAAGUGUGUGUGAAUGUGCACGGACUGUAAAGGCUGCUUUUGAACCCCUUACUGGUUUCAUUCUCGGCCUGACAAGGAUAAGGCAGUUAUGGGCGCCUUAAGAGCUUAUGGAUUAAAAGGAGGAUGUGCGCUGUGAGUGCAAGACAAGACAUUAGGAGCGCUUUAUUAGCUAAUCAUACGACAAUGGGCUUAAAGCACUUAUGUAAAAUAAUAUAAUGACAAAGGCAGAAUCUGUGCUUGCUUGGUCUCGCUGCAUUAGUUAAGAGGGUAGUAAUGUGUGUUGGAACAAUUAAGAAAUUAAUUGAAUAAGAAAUAAAAGAGGUGUUAAGAUUACA
rnacentral:lncRNA from 1 species